UGGGGAAUAUUGCACAAUGGGGGAAACCCUGAUGCAGCGACGCCGCGUGAACGAAGAAGGUAUUCGUAUCGUAAAGUUCUGUCCUAUGGGAAGAUAAUGACAGUACCAUAGAAGAAAGCUCCGGCUAAAUACGUGCCAGCAGCCGCGGUAAUACGUAUGGAGCGAGCGUUGUCCGGAAUUAUUGGGCGUAAAGGGUACGCAGGCGGUUUAAUAAGUCGAAUGUUAAAGAUCGGGGCUCAACCCCGCAAAGCAUUGGAAACUGAUAAACUUGAGUAGUGGAGAGGAAAGUGGAAUUCCUAGUGUAGUGGUGAAAUACGUAGAUAUUAGGAGGAAUACCAGGAGCGAAGGCGACUUUCUGGACACAAACUGACGCUGAGGUACGAAAGCGUGGGGAGCAAACAGG
rnacentral:rRNA from 2 species